UGGCGCUGUGAGGAGCCGGCGUGACCGCCGCCGCCGCCGCGGAGCUCUUCCCGCCCGCCGGGACGGCCGCUCCCCGCCCCGAGGGGAAACCCGCUGCCUUCUCCCGGCCCAGCCGCGGGGCUGGGGGCUGCGGAGAGCUCAAGACUGUAUUUGGCCUCCAGAGUUCUCAAAUAACGUCUUUAGAGGAAGUUACAAAUGCUGAAUGUUGGAAAUUACAUCUAUAUAAUACUGACUAAAAGAGGAAAAUACUUGAAAACUUGGAAGAUUAAAGAUUACUUCCUCAAAGGGCUCGCAGAUAUAUAUAAAUGAAAUUUUAAGGCUGGAAGGAUUGUUAAAAUCAUGUUUAGCUGCUCGUAGGGUCAGGGUGAUUCCUGUAUUAAUUUUCAACUUCUAGCUAAUGCAUGAGUUCCUGUGAUAGAGGGUAAUAACGAUCGCUGUUAAAAGUUUGGCACCAUAUUUUUAAUUUCACUGUUUAGUUUAGCUUUCUGCCACUGGAUUGUAUUACGCUUUGCCUGCUGUCUGAACAGAGUCUUACUCACAGAGAAAACAGAGAGAGUGUUCAGUUCUUAAGCUCAAUUUAUUUUUAACAGAAAAUCGAACAAUUGGUUUAUACUUCUUAGAUUUCUCUCUCCUAUUCACUUUUGCAUGUCUCUUGUCAACCUUAUAUUUUUCCAAUGUUCUUUUUGAAUUAUGAACACCAAAAAUAGACUUACUAUUGCUGAGCAUCAUAGUAGAUCACCUCAAUGUUUCUAAUGGAUAUCCCAACCUAAUUGAAACAGCGGAAGACUGAUUUACAAAGCAUUCAAAAAGGGAGAAAUGUUUAACUGGGUAGCGACUAUAUCCCUCUAUAGUCUUCUUAGGGUUAUUAUUUCUAACAUGACAGACCUAUAUCUUACGUUACUUGACCUAUACCUGUAACUUGGCAGUUGAUCGUAUUAAAAGAAUCAUACAAAUGUA